UUCAAUAAAGUGACAGAACUUAAAGUUCAGCAGUGAAACACUGUUAUUUUACAGGUUUAUCUGCUCUUUUUACAGUCAAUAACCUUUAAUAAAAGUACAGCACUAAUACUUCUACGGGCAAAAACCCCGUAAAAAAACGGUCAAAUGACUGACAGCAGCGGCUGCCAAACAAAAACCAUAAAAUUAAAGUAAAAGUAAAAAUACUUUAACUGAAAUAAAGUGCAAAAGCAAUUAGUAUACAGAAAUUGUCCUUAAAGAUUUUACAGGAAAACACUUUCCUCUCUUUUCAAAAUCCAUUGUCAUCAAAUGUUACAUUCAAAUACCUUAAAUAAAGUUCUGAUGAGAAAAACUGUUUUUUACAUUUUUUUUAUUAUAUUUGUAUGAUCAAACACUAAAAUAAAUACAGAACCUAAAGUUCUACAGCUAGAAUACUGUUAUUUUACAGCUUUUUUCUAACAUUUUCCAAUCAAACAGGUUAAACAAAAUGACAUGGAAAAAUGGAAACAAUUACUCUGAAAACUUAAAAUAUUUGUAGAAUUAUAGCACAACUAAUGAAUACAGCAUUUCAUAUUUAAACAUCAUACUUAUAAACAGUAGAAACAAAAAGUAAGCUGAAUUUUUUUAAGAGUACUUUGAAACAUUCUCAACUGAAAAUAACAGGAAUUACAAAAUGGCGACAUAUGUUCACAUUGUCAAUUUGAAGGAGCAAUGUGCAGGAUUUAGUAAGUCUAACGUUGUAGGUUCCAACCAAUGGAUAACUUGUUCGCUCACCCUCCUAUCCCAAGUUUGUAGGAUAAUGUAUAUUGGCUGCAAAAAACUUGAGGCCCAAUCAUGUUUCCUCUGUCCAUUCUGCGCUACUGUAGACGUGGCAGUGCAAC